rnacentral:lncRNA from 10 species
AGCUGGAGUCAGGUAAGCAGAGGAGGAUGUGGGGCUUUCCCACCCGCAGCCUGGAAGCCCGUGUGUGCAGGGCAGGGCUGCCUCCCACGGCAGGGGCAGGCAGAGGCCUCUGCGCCAGGUACAGCCUAGGUACCGCCUACCCCCAUGGCUGACCCUGGGCCCCAAAUCCAGCGGGAGGCCUGGGAGCAUCUUCUCCGCCUGAGUCACCGGGCUGGGCCCAGGACCCCAGCCAAGGGCUUUGCCUCUGGGAAGAAAAGAGCUUUGGAGUCCAGCAAAACCUGGGAAGCAGGGGGAAGCUUCCCUAGCAGGUGCUAUUUGAGCAGAGGCCUGGAGGAGGUGAGGAAGUGAGCAGCGGGCCGUGUGGGGUAAUGGGUGCUCCAGGAAACCAGAACGGCAGAUGCGAGGUUCUGAGGUGGAGCCUGGAGUGUCGGAGCAACAACAAGGAGACUGUCGUAGGGAUGAGGCCUUGGGGAGGAGGAACAGAGAGCAGAGAGGACCUGGGGCAUGUCCCACAGUGGAUGAGCCACGGGAAGGACUUUGGCUUUUCCUCUAAGCAAGGUGAGAGCUGUGGGAAGUUUCCAGGCAGAGAAGGGACGAGAUCUGACUUAGAUUCUCACGGGAUCUCUCUGGCUGCAUGUGGGGAAUGGAUUGGAGGUGGAGGAUUCAGGACAGAAGCCAGGAAACCAGGGAGGAGGAGACCACAAUAGUCCAGAACCAAGAAGUGAAUCACGGCUGGCCCUGCCCUUGAGAA